GACGAACGCUGGCGGCGUGCCUAAUACAUGCAAGUCGAACGAGUGGCGGACGGGUGAGUAACACGUGGGUAACCUACCCACAGAGGGGGAUAACACUUGGAAACAGGGUCUAAUACCGAAUAAUGGUGGUUGGGCUCGGGGCCUUUCAGCUUGUUGGUGGGGGGAUGGCGUACCAAGGCGGUGACGGGUUGCCGGCCUGAGUGGGGGACCGGCAGCAUGGGGACUGAGAUACGGCCCAGAGUGCUACGGGUAGCGGCAGUGGGGGAUAUUGCACAAUGGGCGAAAGCCUGAUGCGGCGACGCCGCGUGGGGGAUGAGGGCUUUCGGGUUGUAAGCCUCUUUCGCUAUCGAACGGGUAGGUGGAGAAGAAGCGCCGGCUAACUACGUGCCAGCAGCCGCGGUAAUUC
rnacentral:rRNA from 1 species